GUCUAUCUGAGGAGGUAACUUUUAGCAUAUGAUAAUGCAUGCUUGCACAAAGUCAGACCACAUAUUAUAAUGUUUGUCUUCAAUCAAUCAAUUUAAACAAAAGAGAUGGGGACUUUAUAAUAUAAUAAGGGUCCAUAUAUCACAGUGAAAAAAGACAUACAUGUAUUUUUACUUUAACAUGAACUAAUGCUGAGUUACAGCAUAUUCUAAUCAUAAACUAUUGAAGAGUCAUCAUUAACUACAACAUGACAUGUUUUUCAUUGUUAGUUAAUGCAGUCAUUUACAAUAAAUUAAUUUGAGUUCAUGUUGUAGUUAAGUAAGUUCAGUAAGUUACAUGUCUUAACUCAGCAUUAGUUUAUAUUUACUUAUAUUUAAGUAAGAAUUCAUUUAGGUAUACGUUCAAUGUUUCCAAUGAUGAGCAUUUAAUCCACUAAACCCAGAGAUAAUUCCUAAGGCAUGUUUAAAGAGUUUUGUAUUUCAUCAAGAAGGUGCUGAUUCACAAAGAUUUUAUAUUUAAGAAAAUCUGAGCAUCAUUCAAAAUAACUGUUAACAUGUUUGUCAACUAAACAUGUUUUGUAAACGUAAUAAACUUUAUAAAAAUAUUUUUUAUUUUUUUAUUAAUAAUCAAGUAUAAAGAACAAUGCAUAGUGUGAAAAUGCGGAUUAUAAAAAAGUAUAUUAAAGAAAAGGACUACAUUUCCCAGAAUGCACCUGCACCCACUCAUCUGACUGCCCCCACCCUUCAGGUGCGACUGCUCAACCUAUGGGCUUGACGGAAAAAUUCAAAAUCGCGAACCGUUACUGCCUGGACUACUCCGUCUCUUAUUUGUUUGUUUGCUCAUUAACAGUAAGAGGUCAUGUACACUGUGGUCAACUUUGUGGACGAUGAAGAGGUUUCUGGGUAAAGAUGAUAGAAAUAUAAUGAAGUAACAGUGAAAGCUAAAACAUCAGACUGAUCCAGACACUGAAGAAAUUGAUGUCACUGCAAUCUGGCCAAAAUGAUACAACUAUAUUGAAGUAGCCUACUGUAAUGAAGCUGCAGAACAACACAGAGACUCUGAGGACAUCAACACAGAAAAUGAAGGCUCCAAAGAGAUGUCUGUCCAGAUGAGGGUGCAUCAACGUUACCUUUGCUGACAAGUAUAUGCUUUACAAUGUAAAACCUAACAGUUAACUUAACUCAAACCAUUUAAGGAAAUCGGUUGCCUUAACCCAUUAAGUUUUAAAAAACAUACAUUUGAGUACUGUGAACUUAAGUCUUGUGCAAUUAUGCACUUAUAUUUAGUUAGUGUGAACUUAAAUAUAAGUGCAUAACUGCAUGUGACUCAAUUUGUUUAAGUUCACAGUACUCAAAUCUAUGUGUUUUAAAACUUAAAUGGUUUAAUGCAACCGGUUUUCUU